AAUCAUGUCUAAUUAUGUAAAUGUUUUAUUAUUUAAAUAUAAAAAUAUUUGCCUAAUUAAACACGGAGUGUAUUGCAUUUUUUUUUAACAAAUAUUUAGUUAUAUAGACUACAAUGUAAGCUUUUAUGAAAGUGAUGGCCCCUAGUGGACAUCAUGUGGGAUAAGGUAUAGCUAAGAGUGCUCCAGACCAACCUUCCGAACGAACGACUUACAGAAGUGAUACGUAACUAAGAACGUUUCGGAAAACACGUAUUAGCGAUAAGGUACAGCUUAAGGUACAACUUAAGAACGACGUAGUUUCGGAGAACGCAGCCCUGUACCUUAGCGGGAUUCUUAAGGUAUACUUUCUGACGUACGACGUUACCAGGUGCUGUCCAUGGCGAUGGUGCUGAAUAGGUUGAUAUCGAUUGCUCGACAAUCAAUUGUUCACUUUAUGUAAUAGGUACUUCGCUGCGUUAUGAGAGAGCGGUGUUAUUUAUUAAAGAAACAUUUCAGAAAUAGUUCAAGUUACAUUUAUUAGGAAUAUCUGGUAAAAAUAUUUCAAAUUGCAAACAACUAAAUAUAAACCUUGUAGGCUAUAUUUUAUUUUAUAUCAAACCCAUGCAACUCGCAACUUCAUGUCCAAAAGUAUAAUGCAUAAACUGCUCCAAUGCAUCCAUUAUUGCUUCACUUUAAAGGAUAAUUUAUAUUAGGGGUUCCCAAUAAAUGCGUUGCACAGGGAAAUAAGGUGGGUCGUGCAAGUCACCUGGCUUGGCAUUACACUUAAAAUAUAUAAAAACAAAUUGUUGUUCAUUAGUUCACGCGUUUAUGUGUUUGGACACUGCGCAAGCAGCGCGUUUACAAUGCGGAUAACGCUUAAUGGACGCAUUUCUGGAGCCGCGCCUGUCUGUUUACCUUAAAUAUAACAUAAAAUAUAUAUUGUAUGAUAUAUAAAUAUAUAUUAUGAUUGUUUUAGGUUUAAGCUUUGAUUAGUUUUAAUGUGGAAAAUUUGUUGACCUUAUACAAGCAAUAAUCAAGUGGAGCAUUUUCUUUUUAAUGUUUAUAAAGAAUAUGGCAUGCAGUUGCCUCAAAGUUAUAAAACAUUAAAAAUCAACAAUUAUGAUUUCGUGAUGAAUGUGCUACCGUGGCAUGCAAUUUUUUAACUUGCUGUGUUUUAUUUGCAGCUAAAAUAGCCGGUAAACUAAAGAUUUAACGGAUAUGAAAUGCACAAAUAAAAUAGUAAGAUUCGCUGUAUAGCUGCCUGCCGUAGUUUCACCAACUCCUCCACCCAAACUCUUUUUUUAAUAGUUUCUUUAGCCUGUAAUAAUAGUUCACAGCUGAUGUUCCUUGGAAAAAAAUGUUAAAAAUCUAACAACCAUCAGUGUAAUAAUGUCUAAUUAUGUGAAUGUUUUCAUCUUUAAAUAAAUAAAAAAUGCGUGAUUUAACACGGAGUACUUCAACUUUUUUUUAACAGAUAUUCAGUUAUAUAGACUGCAAUAUACACAAGCUUUUAUCACAGUGAUGGCCCCUAGCGGAGUCAAGUGGGAUAAGGUAAAGCUAAGAUUGCUCCAGACCAACCUUCCGAACGAACGACUUACAGAAGUGAUACGUAACUAAGAACGUUUCGGGAAACACGUAUUAACGAUAAGGAGGAUCUUGAUGAAACAGUCGAUGCCUGGAAUUGCCACAGGAUAAGGCCAACUCACAACCCACGUGCCCCCAGUGGUCGACCUUCAAUAAUGUUUGCUGUUCCCAAUUUAUAUGGAGUGCAGAAUUUCGUCCAUCCAGUUGAUCAAACAAAACUGGCCGUUUGCAGAGAGGAUUGUUUAUUUAAAGACUAUCCUUGUGAUGAGGACGUAUUUCACAUCUGUGUGGAACUAAUGGCUGACCAUAAUCUUGUCAUGCCAAAUGAUGUUUAUGAAAUUACAGACCUCUACCUUAGACUUCGUCAGUUGAUCCUUCAGGAACUGGACUUGGAUGACUAGGUUAAAUUAUUCUACAAUAUCCACUAGAAGCCAUUUAAAUACACUGUGUACACUUUUAAGAGUUCAGAUUGACAAAAUAUUUAAAUUUGGGCCAUUUUUUCUUCAUAAAUUGACACCUGUACUUGUUGAACUACAGCAAUACCCUCCUUUACUCAAUGUACAGUGUUUGGACAAGUCAUUUGAUAUGAUAAUUUGCUGCCUAAACAUAUAUUUAAGAAAUGAGGUUUUUGUAUUUUAUAAUUUAUAAUGAGAGGACUAAACAUGUUGUUGUGCGUAUAUUUGGGCACAUCAUCACAAUCAAUCUUAGAACUUUUUCUGUCAUCUUGGUAUUUUGAAUAAAAUGUAUAUUAACCA